rnacentral:rRNA from 1 species
CAAUAGCGUAUAUUUAAGUUGCUGCAGUUAAAAAGCUCGUAGUUGGAUUUCGGGUGGGAAUGGCCGGUCCGCCGUUUCGGUGUGCACUUGCUACGCCCACCUUGCUGCCGGGGACGUGCUCUUGAGUUUACGCUCGGGACACGGAGUCGGCGAGGUUACUUUGAGUAAAUUAGAGUGUUCAAAGCAGGCCUACGCUCUGAAUACAUUAGCAUGGAAUAACACGAUAGGACUCUGGCCUAUCUUGUUGGUCUGUAGGACCGGAGUAAUGAUUAAGAGGGACAGUCGGGGGCAUUCGUAUUUCAUUGUCAGAGGUGAAAUUCUUGGAUUUAUGAAAGACGAACUACUGCGAAAGCAUUUGCCAAGGAUGUUUUCAUUAA